UACGUAGGGGGCAAGCGUUGUCCGGAUUUAUUGGGCGUAAAGAGCGUGUAGGCGGUCAGGUAGGUCCGUUGUGAAAACUCGAGGCUCAACCUCGAGACGCCGAUGGAAACCAUCUGACUAGAGUCCGGAAGAGGAGAGUGGAAUUCCUGGUGUAGCGGUGAAAUGCGCAGAUAUCAGGAAGAACACCCGUGGCUAAGGCGGCUCUCUAGUACGGUACUGGACGCUGAGACGCGAAAGCGUGGGGAGCGAACAGG
rnacentral:rRNA from 1 species